CCUACGGGAGGCAGCAGUGGGGGAUAUUAGACAAUGAGGGAAACCCUGAUCCAGCGAUGCCGCGUGAGGGAGGAAGGUUUUCGGAUUGUAAACCUCUGUAGAGGGGGACGAUAAUGACGGUACCCCUUUAAGAAGCCACGGCUAACUACGUGCCAGCAGCCGCGGUAAU
rnacentral:rRNA from 1 species